rnacentral:rRNA from 1 species
GACGAACGCUGGCGGCGUGCUUAACACAUGCAAGUCGAGCGGUAAGGCCCUUUCGGGGGUACACGAGCGGCGAACGGGUGAGUAACACGUGGGUGACCUGCCCUCAGCUCUGGGAUAAGCCUGGGAAACCGGGUCUAAUACCGGAUAUGACUCCAUGACGCAUGUUGUGGGGUGGAAAGCCUUGUGCGGCUGAGGAUGGGCCCGCGGCCUAUCAGCUUGUUGGUGGGGUGAUGGCCUACCAAGGCGACGACGGGUAGCCGGCCUGAGAGGGCGACCGGCCACACUGGGACUGAGACACGGCCCAGACUCCUACGGGAGGCAGCAGUGGGGAAUCUUGCGCAAUGGGCGAAAGCCUGACGCAGCGACGCCGCGUGAGGGAUGACGGCCU